rnacentral:misc_RNA from 1 species
GAUGAAGAACGUAGUGAAAUGCGAUAAGUAAUGUGAAUUGCAGAAUUCAGUGAAUCAUCGAAUCUUUGAACGCAUCUUGCGCUCCUUGGUAUUCUGAGGAGCAUGCCUGUUUGAGUGUCAUUAAAUUCUCAACUACACUGACUUUGAAUUGGUGUGGCUUGGAUUUGGGGGGAAAAUUGUUGUGGGCUUUUUGUAUAGUCUGCUCCCCUGAAAUUGAUUAGCGGUACCUUUGUGGAACUGUCUACAGGUGUGAUAAUUAUCUACAUCUUAGACAUCUGCUGGAAUGCUGCUUUCUAAACCUUACUUGUAUCGACAAUCUUGACCUCAAAUCAGGUAGGACUACCCGCUGAACUUAAGCAUAUCAAUAAGCGGAGGA